rnacentral:rRNA from 1 species
GAGUUUGAUUCUGGCUCAGAAUGACCGUUGGCGGCGUGGAUUAGGCAUGCAAGUCGAGCGAGAAGCUUCCUGCCUGCAGGAAGUGGAAAGCGGCGAAAGGGAGAGUAACGCGUAGAUACGUACCCUUGGGUUCGGGAUAGCCACGGGAAACUGUGGGUAAUACCGAAUAACGUCUCCGGACCAAAGAUUUAUUGCCCAAGGAGCGGUCUGCGUCCUACUAGCUUGUUGGUGGGGUAAAAGCCUACCAAGGCGAAGAUGGGUACCGGGCGUGAGAGCGUGAUCCGGCUCACUGGGACUGAGACACUGCCCAGACACCUACGGGUGGCUGCAGUCGAGAAUCUUCCGCAAUGGACGAAAGUCUGACGGAGCGACGCCGCGUGCGGGAUGAAGGCCCUCGGGUUGUAAACCGCUGUCAGAGGGGAGCAAAUUUUGAGCAAUCCUCAGAGGAAGCGCAGGCUAAGUUCGUGCCAGCAGCC